rnacentral:lncRNA from 1 species
CCCCUCCCCCCCCAAAAUAAAAUAAAAUAAAAUCUUGGACAACGGAAAUUAAGUCAACCAGAAUGAAGAAGAGUAUAAGGUCAAUUCUAAUGGUUUUAGUAGGUCAUGGAAUAUAGAAUAUAGUUAGUAGCUCAUAGAAUUUAGUAGCUUGAGAGAGGUGCUGUCUUAAAAAAAAAAAAAAAAAAAAGAAUUGUUUUUUUCUGUUGACUUGGAUAUUCAGUGCAAAAAUGUGUUCCUAAUUCACAAUCAAUAUUUUGAACUAUUAUGAUAAAGAAGUUGCAAAUGCAGGUAUAGUUUAUGCACAAAUGUUGUUGUGCAGAUCACCCCACUUGAGGAUCAUCAAGGCCAUCUCCUGGUUCUGGUACCAGUUGGGCUGCUGAGAUCUUCACGACUGCUUUAUCUGAAAUUCUAUUUCUUCUGUUCACAGAGCACUGCUUCUUCCACUUAAGCAAAAGAGGAAACGCUGCAAACUGAUUUCUAAUACAGUGUUCAGUGGCUCUACUUUCAUCUGUAAAUUGAUAGCGAUCAUCACGGAACAUGAAAAACAUCAUCAGCUAAGUUAUACCAGUUAUGCUGAUAGACAGGUGUUCAGGGUUAACCACAGUAGGGUAAGCACCACACAGCUCACUUUCUUUACAGUGGAACAGGGGAAGAAUAAAAAUGAGAACUUAUAUCGAGAUGAAAAUAGUUUAAUAAGGAAAAAGGGAGUGGUAGAAGAAAAGUAAGUGACACAAAACCAAUCUCUCACCACCUUCCAACAGUAGAGUGAUAUCCAGUCAGUUCACAAGCAGAAGAUAGCUAACCUCCCCAAAACUUCCUUUUCAUUUUCUUGCUGAACAUAUUGUUGUAUAGCAAGGAAUAUUUCUUUGAUUAAUUCCAGUCAUCUGCUUGGUUGUGUUCCCUCUCAGCUUUUUGUGCACCCCUGGUCUAUUCACUGGGUGUGGGGUGAGAAACAGAGAAGGUCUUGAUGCUGUGAUAACACUGUUGAGCAUUGGUUAAAAUAGUUCUAUUGACUCUUUUGUUCACAGAUCUAAAAACAGCAUUCUAUGAGCUGCUAUGAAAAAAAGUGAACUCCGUGGCAGCCAGACCCGUUAUAGCAGUGGACCUGGGGGCCAGAUCUGAUGCGUUUGGAAAUCACAAGUCAUCUCUGCAUCCUUAGAGCUUUCAAAAUCAGGUUCCAUUAAUACAGCUGAAACAUGCCUGGGUGUUUUCUCUGUUAUAAGUGCAGUGGGAGUUUGCAUCAGCUGUGUAUGUGGGAGGGAUGGUUACCAUUCUGUUAUGAUGUAAAUUUGUUAUUAUUUCCUUAUGAAUUGAAACAUUCUUAUAACAAAGGGGUGUGUGUGUUGGGUUUUUUUAAUCUUAAGAUAGG